ACUGGGAAGCAAAGACCACCAUCACAUUGACUGUAGACCUAAACCAGAAGAUAAUCAUGGACAUAUUGAUCCCUCUCUGAGACCCAUCUGGGAUUUGGCUUUCCUUGGAAGCUCUUAUGUGAUGUGGGAAAUAACAACACAGGUGUCACACUACUACUUGGCACAGCUCACUAGUGUGAGACAGUGG
rnacentral:sRNA from 1 species